rnacentral:ncRNA from 1 species
UCUCAACUGUUACUCAACUUACACAUGCAAGUAUCCGCACACCCGUGAAAACGCCCUUUCCCCCUCCAACAGGAUAAGGAGCCGGUAUCAGGCACGAUACCCUGCCCAUGACACCUAGCCACGCCACGCCCCCAAGGGCCCUCAGCAGUGAUAAAUAUUGUCAAUAAGCGCCAGCUUGACUCAGUCAGAGUAAAUUAGAGCCGGCCAACUCGGUGCCAGCCGCCGCGGCUACCCCGUUCGGCUCAAGUUGACGUUAUCGGCGUUAAGCGUGGUUAGAGCAACACAAAUGUUAGUAUUAAACCCGGACUAAGUCGUUAAAUGCCUGCCCUCGGGAAGCCCACACACGAAAGUUAUCCUAAAACACUCGAACCCACGACAGUUGGGGCACAAACUGGGAUUAGAUACCCCACUAUGCCCAACCGUAAAAUAUCAACUCACACCCACACCCGCCAGGGGAUUACGAGCCCAAUCUUAAAACCCUAAGGACUUGACGGUGUCCCACCCACCUAGAGGAGCCUGUUCUAUAAUCGAUACCCCCCGAUACACCCCACCACUUCUAGCGUAUCAGUCUGUAUACCUCCGUCUUCAGCUCGCCGUGUGAACGCUUGCAGCGGGCAAAAAGAUUCAUCACCAAUACGUCAGGUCAAGGUGCAACUUACGAAGUGGGAAGCAAUGGGCUACAAUUUCUAUCCGUAGAACACACGAAAAACUGCGUGCAAUACAGUUUAUGAAGGUGGAUUUAGCAGUAAAAAGAAAAUAGAGAGUUCUUUUAAAUCCGGCCCUGGGACGCGUACACACCGCCCGUCACCCUCUUCAAGUACUGUUCGUCUCGAGAAGAGGCAAGUCGUAACAUGGUAAGUGUACUGGAAAGUGCGCUUGGACAACAAACCGUAGCUUAUUCAAAGCAUCUCGCUUACACCGAGAAAGAUGUCCCCUAAAGACCGGCUUGAGCCCUAACCUCAGCCCUACCCUACCCCACAACACCCUUCUACAAAAUAAAACAUUUUCUCAUACUAAGUAAAGGCGAUUAAAAAGUUCUCAGGAGCUACAGCAACAGUACCGCAAGGGAAACAUGAAAUAGUAAUGAAAAUUAAAGCACAACAAAGCAAAGUUUCAACCUUGUACCUUUUGCAUCAUGGUCUCGCUAGUUAAACCAAGCAAAACGCACUUCAAGUUUGACCCCCCGAAACUAGACGAGCUACUUUUAAACAGCCUUUCAGGGCCAACCCGUCUCCGUAGCAAAGGAGUGGGAAGAUUUAACAGUAGAGGUGACACGCCUAUCGAGCCUAGAGAUAGCUGGUUAUUUAGGAAAAGGAUCUGAGUCCACCUUUAAGUUUUCUUAGUAUACCUAACCCUGCCCGAAACUUAAAAGCCAUUCAAAUAAGGUACAGCCUAUUUGAGUAAGGAAACAGCCUGCAACACAGGGUAAUGCCCGGCUUCAUGUGACCAGGUGGGCCUAAAAGCAGCCAACCUCCAAAAAGCGUUCAAGCUUCACCACUAGCCGUUAAUAAUUCCAUUAUCACCCCACAACCCCCCUACACAACUAAAUAAUCCCCUAUAAUUAUGGGAAAUAUUAUGCUAGAACCAGUAACAAGAAGUAGCCCUUCUCCUAAAUGCAAGCGUAAGUCAGAAAUGAACAACUCACUGACACUUACCGCCACUAAACCCACCGUAGCAACUACCUACAAGAAAAUACUACCCCCCCCGGCGUUAACCUUACACCAGAGCAUUCCAGGAACGAUAAAAAGGAGGGGAAGGAACUCGGCAACUAUUAGCUCCGCCUGUUUACCAAAAACAUCGCCUCCUGUAAACUAUACGAGGUCCAGCCUGCCCAGUGACAAAGUUCAACGGCCGCGGUACCCUGACCGUGCGAAGGUAGCAUAAUCACUUGUUCCUUAAAUAGGGACUAGUAUCAACGGCAUCACGAGAGCUAUACUGUCUCCCCCACCCCAUCAGUGAAACUGAUCCCCUCGUGAAGAAGCGAGGAUAUUACCAUAAGACGAGAAGACCCCAUGGAGCUUUAAACUUGCACCACUGCCUCCUCAUACACCAAAAUAACCCAGGCAACAUGGCAGCUAGUCUUUCGGCUGGGGCGACCACGGAGAAAAACAGAACCUCCAUGAUGAAUGGGGCCACCCCUAAUCAAAGAGCCACUGCUCUAAGAAUCAAUAAAUUGACGUAUUGACCCAAAAAUUUGAUCAACGAACCAAGUUACCCUGGGGAUAACAGCGCAAUCCAUUUCAAGAGACCCCAUCGACAAAUGGGCUUACGACCUCGAUGUUGGAUCAGGGUAUCCUGGUGGUGCAGCCGCUACCAAGGGUUCG